GACGAACGCUGGCGGCGUGCUUAACACAUGCAAGUCGAACGGAAAGGCCUCUUUCGGGGGGUACUCGAGUGGCGAACGGGUGAGUAACACGUGAGUAACCUGCCCUUGACUUUGGGAUAACUUCAGGAAACUGGGGCUAAUACCGGAUAGGAGCUCCUUCUGCAUGGUGGGGGUUGGAAAGUUUCGGCGGUUGGGGAUGGACUCGCGGCUUAUCAGCUUGUUGGUGGGGUAGUGGCUUACCAAGGCUUUGACGGGUAGCCGGCCUGAGAGGGUGACCGGCCACAUUGGGACUGAGAUACGGCCCAGACUCCUACGGGAGGCAGCAGUGGGGAAGAUUGCACAAUGGGUGGAAGCCUGAUGCAGCAACGCCGUGUGCGGGAUGACGGCCUUCGGGUUGUAAACCGCUUUCGCUCAUGACGAAGCUUUGUGUGACGGUAGUGGGUAAAGAAGCACCGGCUAACUACGUG
rnacentral:rRNA from 1 species